rnacentral:misc_RNA from 1 species
UCAAACUUGGUCAUUUAGAGGAAGUAAAAGUCGUAACAAGGUUUCCGUAGGUGAACCUGCGGAAGGAUCAUUAACAAAUCUGCUAGAGGUUAGGAUGGUGUUGCUAGUGGGGAGUGAGAGAGGGCUUAGUGCAGCAGUGAUGCGCGCUAGCUCUAUCAACAACUACCCAUACAACUCUCCUUCCUCACAUUGACUCGGGCUCGGUCGGCGUAAUAACCGAUCGGGUCUUGAGACAUUCACGCUUGUUGUGUAUGACUGAGUUUAUAUGUGCCUUAAACAAAGACAACUUUUAACAAUGGAUCUCUUGGCUCUUGCAUCGAUGAAGAACGCAGC